rnacentral:rRNA from 1 species
GAUGAACGCUGGCGGCGUGCCUAAUACAUGCAGGUCGAGCGAACAGACGAGGAGCUUGCUCCUCUGACGUUAGCGGCGGACGGGUGAGUAACACGUGGAUAACCUACCUAUAAGACUGGGAUAACUUCGGGAAACCGGAGCUAAUACCGGAUAAUGUAUUGAACCGCAUGGUUCAAUAGUGAAAGACGGUUUUGCUGUCACUUAUAGAUGGAUCCGCGCCGCAUUAGCUAGUUGGUAAGGUAACGGCUUACCAAGGCAACGAUGCGUAGCCGACCUGAGAGGGUGAUCGGCCACACUGGAACUGAGACACGGUCCAGACUCCUACGGGAGGCAGCAGUAGGGAAUCUUCCGCAAUGGGCGAAAGCCUGACGGAGCAACGCCGCGUGAGUGAUGAAGGUCUUCGGAUCGUAAAACUCUGUUAUUAGGGAAGAACAAAUGUGUAAGUAACUAUGCACGUCUUGACGGUACCUAAUCAGAAAGCCACGGCUAACUACGUG